GACGAACGCUGGCGGCGUGCUUAACACAUGCAAGUCGAACGGAAAGGCCCUGCUUUUGUGGGGUGCUCGAGUGGCGAACGGGUGAGUAACACGUGAGUAACCUGCCCUUGACUUUGGGAUAACUUCAGGAAACUGGGGCUAAUACCGGAUAGGAGCUCCUGCUGCAUGGUGUGGGUUGGAAAGUUUCGGCGGUUGGGGUUGGGCUCGCGGCUUACCAGCUUGUUGGUGGGGUAGUGGCCUACCAAGGGUUUGACGGGUAGCCGGCAUGAGAGGGUGACCGGCAACAUUGGGCCUAAGAUACGGCCCAGACUGCUACGGGAGGCAGCAGUGGAGAAUAUUGCACAGUGGGGGGAAGCCUGAUACGACAACGCCGCGUGCGGGAUACAGGCCUUCGGGUUGUAAACCGCUUUGGCCUGUGACGAAGCGUGAGUGACGGUAAUGGGUAAGGAAGCACCGGCUAACUACGUG
rnacentral:rRNA from 1 species